rnacentral:rRNA from 1 species
UACGUAGGCAGCAAGCGUUGUUCGGAGUUACUGGGCGUAAAGGGUGCGUAGGCGGUCCUAUAAGUAUGGUGUGAAAUCUCCCGGCUUAACUGGGAGGGUGCGCUAUAGACUGUGGGACUAGAGUGUGGGAGAGGAAAGUGGAAUUCCUGGUGUAGCGGUGAAAUGCGUAGAUAUCAGGAGGAACACCGGUGGUGUAAACGGCUUUCUGGACCAUAACUGACGUGAGGCACGAAAAGCGUGGGUAGCAAACAGG